rnacentral:rRNA from 1 species
AUUGAACGCUGGCGGCAUGCCUUACACAUGCAAGUCGAACGGCAGCACGGGGGGUAACCCCUGGUGGCGAGUGGCGAACGGGUGAGUAAUGUAUCGGAACGUGUCCUGUAGCGGGGGAUA